rnacentral:misc_RNA from 1 species
GAGAGAGAGAGAGAGAGAAAGGAAGAAAUACUUGGUUUCUUUGUAAUAUGUUGUCUGUGGCAUUAAAGUGAGACAGUUUAGGGCUUCUUUUUAUUUUAUGCUUUUAAGAAAAAAUUUUAAAAAAAUUCCUGUUAGUUUGAAGUGGUGGCUGCCGACUCAUCUUAGAUGCCUCGCCUCAGCCGGGUGAAUCGCUAAGGGCUCGCCUCGCCUCUCUUCGCACGGCGCCUUUCUUCUACUUUAACAACAUUGACAUAAUCUGAUGAUAAAGAUGUGUAGUCGUCUUCAUGAGUUUGUGAACUUGCUUCUAUAUUGUGAGUGUGAGAUUUGGCUUAUUGAUUUAACCCUUAGGUUCUUGCAUUCAAAGUAGUUCAAUUUAACCCUAAAACUAGAUAUGCCCAUGAAGGUUACAAUCUAUAUAGAGAAGUAAAAUAGAAAAUUGUUAAGGUUAUGUUUAGUUUAGGGUAAAUUAUUUUUUGCUCCUUGUGUUAUGUCAAAAUUAAUACGAAUGUCCCUUGGUUUUUAAAAGUCAAUGGUUUCAUCCCUUGGGAUAAAUUUGCAUCUAUAUAUUUCGGGUGUGCAUUGGUUGCACCCAUUAAGCGUCGUCGUUAGUUAACAAUGUCCAUUAAACAUUCUGUAGAAUUCUGGUUAAUGUUGAAGGUAAUUUCUCUUAGUAGUGAAAACAUGUGUAAAGAUUUCAGAUGUUGAACAGCCAUUGUGUCUGUUCUUGUCUUUACUUAGUGUAAUCACUUCAUUUAAGAAUCUUUAUAUGCAGCCUUUGACACUUUUGCACUAACUGCAGUCUCUGAUAAUUAUUGCUUGUUCAAUUAUUUGACUUAUCAAUUGCUUGUUCAGGUAUGUUUGAGUUGUUUGAACCCUAAAUUUGAAGUUUCUAAUCAUUUACCAUAUGUGGCUCUUUUAUUUUAGUUUUCCAAUUUAACACUUUUGAAAAUCCGUGGUUUACAAUAAAACCUUUGUUGAAUAUUAUGGCUCAUAAUUCAAUUUAAAUGUUACAUUCAGGAAAAGGAAGUGAACUUCCUAAUUAAUAAUUUGAAUAUCAAUUUGACAAUCAUGAUUUUAGUCUACAUAAUAACAAAAAGGAAAAAAAAAAUGGUGGAUAAACAUAGAGCAAUUUGGAGUCAUAAGUGCCUAAUUGUUCUAUCUCUGUUUGCUUCCUUUUUCUGUAAAAUAAAGGUUGGUAGAAUUUUGGUUUUCUGCUAGACAUUAGGUUUUAAGAAAGUGAUAUGCAGUAGUCUACUAGCUGGUCUGAAAUACCUUGGUUAUUGUUUCAAGUAGUUUCAAGGAAAAAUGACUAUAGUAAGCUCAUAAUUUUGGUUCUUCUAUUCUGUGUUUGCUGAUAAGUGAAGUAGAGAGAAGGAAAACAGUCACUUGCAUGUGAUGAGCUUCAAGCAGGAUUUAUUUAUUUAUUUAUUUUUUUUUUUUAU